UCAAUUACACACCAUUUCUCACAUCAAUUUUCAGAGAAAAACUUUGAGUAUUCUUACCUUUCUCAUGGCUUGUUAACAUUCGAAUUCCAUAAAAUAAGACAAUUACUUGCCAAAAUGAGAGCAACUAGGAGGUUGACUUGAAGAUGUUUAAGUGAUUUUAACAUAAAGACAAGGAGGAAAGCCACUAUGGGAAGCCGCAAAGAGUAGCCGUAGAUAGCCCCCUACAUCCAGCUGUUUACUCUUUGCAUUGUGAAAUGACCGUAGAUAGCCCCCCUCAGCUACUAUUUCUUACCCUUCUCUUUAUUGUUAAAUUAUUGUUUUAUAUGUCAGGAGAUAAGAUUGCAUCUCAAUCUUUAUUUUUCCAGUUUAAUAUGACAUGACUUAAUUUUGUUUAUUCAAAAUGGAUAUGACUCUUGAUUUGAGUUCAUUGGCAUUUGUUUCUUAAUAUUUUGUGCGAAUGAUUAUUUCAUUCAUUUAGGUUUAAUUCAUGACCAACAUUUGUAGGUAAUUGAAUUAAUUAUUUAAUUUGGGAAGAGGUAAUAGUUAAUAGACGUAAGACCUAAAUGAUGCAUAUCAUGUCAAUUUCGGAAGAUAAUUGUUGUAGCAUAAAUUGUGUAAAUGCCCGGAAGGGUGAUUUCUAAGUUAGUUUUUUGACAUAGGGAUAUUCAAAUUAACUUAAGAACAAAAUAGGACUUUGGGAAGAGCCUAUGUUUUAAUUAAAUGACCUUAAUGAAUUUUCAUAUUGCCACGAACUAUUCAUGAUAUUCAUUUUAUGAC
rnacentral:lncRNA from 1 species